rnacentral:rRNA from 1 species
AUUGAACGCUGGCGGCAGGCCUAACACAUGCAAGUCGAGCGGAUGACGGGAGCUUGCUCCUUGAUUCAGCGGCGGACGGGUGAGUAAUGCCUAGGAAUCUGCCUGGUAGUGGGGGACAACGUUUCGAAAGGAACGCUAAUACCGCAUACGUCCUACGGGAGAAAGCAGGGGACCUUCGGGCCUUGCGCUAUCAGAUGAGCCUAGGUCGGAUUAGCUAGUUGGUGGGGUAAUGGCUCACAAGGCGACGAUCCGUAACUGGUCUGAGAGGAUGAUCAGGCACACUGGAACUGAGACACGGGCCAGACUCCUACGGGAGGCAGCAGUGGGGAAUAUUGGACAAUGGGCGAAAGCCUGAUCCAGCCAUGCCGCGUGUGUGAAGAAGGUCUUCGGAUUGUAAAGCACUUUAAGUUGGGAGGAAGGGCAGUAAGUUAAUACCUUGCUGUUUUGACGUUACCGGCAGAAUAAGCACCGGCUAACUCUGUGCCAGCCGCCGCUGUAA